rnacentral:rRNA from 1 species
GACGAACGCUGGCGGCGUGCUUAACACAUGCAAGUCGAACGGAAAGGCCCUGCUUUUGUGGGGUGCUCGAGUGGCGAACGGGUGAGUAACACGUGAGUAACCUGCCCUUGACUUUGGGAUAACUUCAGGAAACUGGGGCUAAUACCGGAUAGGAGCUCCUGCUGCAUGGUGGGGGUUGGAAAGUUUCGGCGGUUGGGGAUGGACUCGCGGCUUAUCAGCUUGUUGGUGGGGUAGUGGCUUACCAAGGCUUUGACGGGUAGCCGGCCUGGGAGGGUGACCGGCCCCAUUGGGACUGAGAUACGGCCCAGACUCCUACGGGAGGCAGCAGUGGGGAAUAUUGCACAAUGGGCGGAAGCCUGAUGCAGCAACGCCGCGUGCGGGAUGACGGCCUUCGGGUUGUAAACCGCUUUCGCCUGUGACGAAGCGUGGGUGACGGUAAUGGGUAAAGAAGCACCGGCUAACUACGUG